rnacentral:rRNA from 1 species
GGUUGCGAUCAUACCAGCACUAAUGCACCGGAUCCCAUCAGAACUCCGCAGUUAAGCGUGCUUGGACGAGAGUAGUACUAGGAUGGGUGACCCCCUGGGAAGUCCUCGUGUUGCAACCCC